AGGGCUUAGCUAACUUGUGAACAGAGUUGUAAUGGUCUCCUUGUUCACAGUGGCUAAGUUCCGC
rnacentral:pre_miRNA from 1 species